rnacentral:rRNA from 1 species
CAGUAGCCGCGGUAAUACGUAGGGUGCGAGCGUUAAUCGGAAUUACUGGGCGUAAAGCGUGCGCAGGCGGUUUUGUAAGACAGGCGUGAAAUCCCCGGGCUCAACCUGGGAAUGGCGCUUGUGACUGCAAAGCUAGAGUGCGGCAGAGGGGGAUGGAAUUCCGCGUGUAGCAGUGAAAUGCGUAGAUAUGCGGAGGAACACCGAUGGCGAAGGCAAUCCCCUGGGCCUGUACUGACGCUCAUGCACGAAAGCGUGGGGAGCAAACAGGAUUAGAUACCCGCGUAGUCCCUGUCUCUUAUAA